rnacentral:rRNA from 1 species
UAAGGAAUAUUGGUCAAUGGACGCAAGUCUGAACCAGCCAUGCCGCGUGAAGGAUGAAGGUCCUCUGGAUUGUAAACUUCUUUUAUCUGGGACGAAAACGGGAUUUUUAUCUCAAUUGACGGUACCAGAGGAAUAAGCACCGGCUAACUCCGUGCCAGCAGCCGCGGUAAUACGGAGGGUGCGAGCGUUAUCCGGAUUUACUGGGUUUAAAGGGUGCGUAGGUGGGCUUAUAAGUCAGUGGUGAAAUCUCCGAGCUUAACUUGGAAACUGCCGUUGAUACUAUAGGUCUUGAAUUAUCUGGAGGUACGCGGAAUAUGUCAUGUAGCGGUGAAAUGCUUAGAUAUGACAUAGAACACCAAUUGCGAAGGCAGCUUACUACAUAUAAAUUGACGCUGAGGCACGAAAGCGUGGGGAUCAAACA